UGGGGAAUCUUCCGCAAUGGACGAAAGUCUGACGGAGCAACGCCGCGUGAGUGAAGAAGGUUUUCGGAUCGUAAAACUCUGUCUUUUGGGGCGAACGUGAGUAUGGUGAACAAUCAUAGUCAGUGACGGUACCAAAGGAGGAAGCCACGGCUAACUACGUGCCAGCAGCCGCGGUAAUACGUAGGUGGCAAGCGUUGUCCGGAAUUAUUGGGCGUAAAGAGCGCGUAGGCGGGAUAGUCAGUCUGUUGUAAAGUGCGGGGCUCAACCCCGUGAUCGCAAUGGAACAGCUAUUCUUGAGUGCAGGAGAGGAAGUGGAAUUCCCAGUGUAGCGGUGAAAUGCGUAGAUAUUGGGAGGAACACCAGUGGCGAAGGCGACUUUCUGGACUGUGUCUGACGCUGAGGCGCGAAAGCCAGGGGAGGCGAACGGGAUUAGAUACCCCGGUAGUCCUGGCCGUAAACGAUGGGUACUAGGUGUGGGAGGUAUCGACCCCUUCCGUGCCGGAGUUAACGCAAUAAGUACCCCGCCUGGGGAGUACGGUCGCAAGACUGAACUUAAUGAAUUGACGGGGUCAUAGCUGUUUCCU
rnacentral:rRNA from 1 species